rnacentral:misc_RNA from 1 species
GAUGAAGAACGUAGUAAAAUGCGAUAAGUAAUGUGAAUUGCAGAAUUCAGUGAAUCAUCGAAUCUUUGAACGCACAUUGCGCCCGCCAGCACUCUGGCGGGCAUGCCUGUCCGAGCGUCAUUUCAACCCUCAGGGCCCCUUCGGGGGACCUGGCGUUGGGGAUCGGCCCGCCCCCGUGCGGCGCCGUCCCCGAAAUAUAGUGGCGGUCUCGCUGCAGCCUCCCCUGCGUAGUAGCACACCUCGCACUGGAGAGCGGCGCGGCCACGCCGUGAAACCCCCAACUUCUGAAUGUUGACCUCGGAUCAGGUAGGAAUACCCGCUGAACUUAAGCAUAUCAAUAAGCGGAGGA